AGCUUCUUUGUCAAAUGGAAGCUGCUCCUUGGUUGGGGUAUUCGGUUAUGAAUCGCAUUCACCCCCCUUUUUUACACUGCAAGCAUAUGAGUAUCUUCACGCACAACUGGAUAGGCCUUUUGGAUACGCUUGUCCAAGGCCCAAGACAUAAAGUUGCCUGAAAGCUGUGUAACAAUCAUUCCAU